rnacentral:rRNA from 1 species
GACAGAGGGUGCAAACGUUGCUCGGAAUCACUGGGCGUAAAGGGCGUGUAGGCGGCCAGGUAGGUCGGUUGUGAAAACUGGAGGCUCAACCUUCAGAGGUCGACCGAAACCAUCUGGCUAGAGUCCGGGAGAGGAGAGUGGAAUUCCUGGUGUAGCGGUGAAAUGCGCAGAUAUCGGGAAGAACACCUAUGGCGAAGGCAGCUCUCUGGGACGGUACUGACGCUGAGACGCGAAAGCGUGGGGAGCGAACAGG